AGUGAACGCUGGCGGUAGGCCUAACACAUGCAAGUCGAACGGCAGCACAGUAAGAGCUUGCUCUUACGGGUGGCGAGUGGCGGACGGGUGAGGAAUACAUCGGAAUCUACUUUUUCGGGGGGGAUAACGUAGGGAAACUUACGCUAAUACCGCAUACGACCUACGGGUGAAAGCAGGGGAUCUUCGGACCUUGCGCGAUUGAAUUAGCCGAUGUCGGAUUAGCUAGUUGGCGGGGUAAAGGCCCACCAAGGCGACGAUCCGUAGCUGGUCUGAGAGGAUGAUCAGCCACACUGGAACUGAGACACGGUCCAGACUCCUACGGGAGGCAGCAGUGGGGAAUAUUGGACAAUGGGCGCAAGCCUGAUCCAGCCAUACCGCGUGAGUGAAGAAGGCCUUCGGGUUGUAAAGCCCUUUUGUUGGGAAAGAAAAGCAGCAGGUUAAUACCCCGAUGUUCUGACGGUACCCAAAGAAUAAGCACCGGCUAACUUCGUG
rnacentral:rRNA from 1 species